rnacentral:lncRNA from 1 species
AUGGGGUGGAAUGAGAAGGAGAGGAGAGGUUGGGAGGAGAGGGUUGGGGGGAAGGGUGGAAGGUUGGGUUGGGUUGGCUGGAAGUGUGAAAGGUUGGUUUUGAUUGAAGGGUCAGUGGUUGGGUUGGGUGGAAGAGUCAGUGGUUGGGUUGGGUUGGAUGGAAGGGUCAGAUGUUGGGUUGUGUUGGGAUGGAAGGGUCAGUGGUUGGGUUGGGUGGAAGGGUCAGAUGUUGUGUUAGGAUGGAUGGAAGGGUCAGAUAUUGGGUUGGGUGGAAGGGUCAGAUGUUGGGUUGGGUUGGGUGGAAGGAUCAGAUGUUGGGUUGGGUUGGGUGGAAGAGUCAGUGGUUGGGUUGGGUUGGAUGGACGGGUCAGAUGUUGGGUUGGGUUGGAUGGAAGGGUCAGUGGUUGGGUUGGGUGGAAGGCUCAGAUGUUGGGUUGGGUUGGAUGGAAGGGUCAGUGGUUGGGUUUGGCUGCAUGGCAUGGUUGAAUGCAUGGGCAGAUGAGUGGUUCGGUGGACAUACGGUGCAGGACUGUAAGCAGAGAAGUGGAUGGUGGCACGGUGGGGAACCAAGACCUGCCAGGCCUCACCUUGGUGUGACCAAAUUUGUACUGGGUGUGGUCCACAUCGAUUGACCCAAGAAGCUUCUCAGAAGCUUUCUUGCUAUCAAUGAACUGUCCCUCAGGGAUGGCUGUGGGGUUCAGGAUGCGAUACCUGGCAAAGAAUGGGAGGAACCGACCCCAGAAUGAGCCCUGGGUGGGUUCUGGUCCCACCUUCGGGCCCACGUUGGCCAAUCCCACCUCUGACGGAAGUCCCCGUAGAGGAUCCGGUUGGGGAAACCCUUACGGCAGAUGCGGAUGCCUUCCAGGACACCAUUACAGCGGAGCUGGUGCAUCACCAGGGAGUUGUCCAUCACACCUGGGUACAGAAAGGGAACCAUUGGCAGCUGCUGUGGGUCCCUAUCUGACCCCACUGCGUCGUUCUAUAGGCUCACCAGGAGACUUGGUCUCAUUGGGGAUGAUGCAGCGGACAAAAUGGGGGUGAGUGCUCCGUAGGUUGGUCAUCAGCUUGUUUAGGUUCUCCUGGAGGAGAUGAGGGAUGAUGAGAGCGAGAUCCACCACGGUCCCUUGGUCUGAUGGAUCCCACUGUCCUCACCCGGUGCAGGGCUGAGACAGUCUGGAAGGAGGAACCUUUCUUCUUGGCUCCUUUCCCCUUCUCCACAGCUGUUGGAUGAGGAAAAGAAAAGGAAGCAAUGGAUUGGUUGGGUCAAGGUUUGGAUGGUGGGUUCUCCACUCUUGAGCAGGUCAAUGGAGCUACUUACGUGCAUCGGCUCCGGCGUAGUUGGAGAAGAGACUGGCCAAUAGCUUGAGGGCUGACUUCUGGUAGAGCCCCACCACAGUUUCAUUCAGAGGGUCCUUGUUCUUCUGCAGCCAGCCAAUGAUGUUAUAGUCUACCGUGCCCGCGUAGUGCACCAGGGCAAAGUGAGCUU